UACAGAGGGGGCAAGCGUUGUUCGGAAUUACUGGGCGUAAAGGGCGCGUAGGCGGCCUUCUAAGUCAGACGUGAAAUCCCUCGGCUCAACCGGGGAACUGCGUCUGAGACUGAAAGGCUUGAAUCCGGGAGAGGAAUGCGGAAUUCCAGGUGUAGCGGUGAAAUGCGUAGAUAUCUGGGGGAACACCGGUGGCGAAGGCGGCAUUCUGGACCGGCAUUGACGCUGAGGCGCGAAAGCCAGGGGAGCAAACGGG
rnacentral:rRNA from 1 species